CAGAGAAUAACCAAAGCAAACGUGAUUGCUUUAGCUUUAAAGAAAAAUAUCAACUAUGGACAAAUGUUAGCAAUAUCCUAACCAUAAUAAGGUAUUGACUUGUUAUUGAUGACCUAUAUGAGAACUGUUUGCAGAAGUUAAAUAGGGGUCUCUUGAAAUUCCUGAAACACGACCAAACCAGAUAUAUAUCUUAUGAAAAACAGCAGCCUGGGCAGAGCAGCAGCAUCUCAGCGAAGCUGCAGGUAAGUAACAGCAGACCAAGGACAGUGAGCAGCAACCCAGGCAGGGCAGGAGUGCAGCAAGGAAACAGGCUGUGCUCCGGAGCCUUUUCCCCAGGGCGAGGCUGUGCCAGGCAGCUCAUAGCCCAGCAGAAGCUGACAACUCCUGAGAGCAGUAGAAAGUGCAGGACUGGCAAAGCUUGGAUAAGAAGAUGCCCAAUGCUAGCUUAUGAAUUACUUUGUUUUAGCAGGAGAGUUCAAUCUGUCCAACCUCCUGUGAGCCCUGCCAGUAUCCAGAAACACAGUCCAGUUCCUGUGAGGUUGCUCCACAGAAAGACUGCUCUGGAAGACAUGGGUCAGGAACCUGCUCAACAGAAGGCUCUGGGUGACCUGGAAGUCGAGACAGGCAGAGAUGUGCUCUGUGACCAGACCUGGCCUGUGGGUAUAAUGGUUCCUGGCUUUUCUGGAGUCACAGAGCACCCAUGUCUCUCCUGCAGUCUGUCUCACCCCUUACCAAAGGGCUUUUAAAUGACACGGUAAAGACACAUUACAAAGACAACAGCAACAUGCAGUGUUACUAUGACUUUACAGACUACUAAUCUUGGUCUCUCAGACUGCAGCUUGGGACCUGCUCUGAGUGCCUAAGAGAGGAAAAGGAUGAACUGGUGGCUCUCAGACAAACAGCUGUGACGCGUGCCAUCACAGUAAGUUCAUGGUGGCUGCAGUUUUGACAGACUAAGUCAAAACAGAACCGAACAAUCAGGGUGAGUUUUUGUCUUGUGGCUGCAAUGAAUUCCCCGGUGGCUGCCUGUGGCCACUGUUAUUGUCUGUGGGAGUCACUGCCCUAAGAGAAGAAUUCUUCAACAAGUGAACAAAUAACUCAAUUAGAAAUGAAAGCAGUACAUUCCUGAGAGGAGUUCAGCAGCCUCUUCUUCCAGUAGCAACAGUGGAAGUUCCCAGGCUCUGCACCUCUCAGCCCUCGACCCCGAGCCAUGGCUCCUUGCUCCACUUCAGCAGAUGACACCUACCAGGGAGUGCGACCAACUGCUUCACAAUGACAUGCCAGCCUGUUUCUUUUGGGUACCAUUUGUUGGGAUGUGGCAAUGCACUUACUUUGGUCGGUCAAAUUUCAGCUUAGAAAAAUAAUCCAAUUACACACAACAAGAUGGAAAGAGCAGGGGAGACAAGAGCAGAUUUAUGAACUGAUGAAUGAGCUUUUUUGUUGAAAAAUAAUUACUGAGUACUCACUUUGUGGGUGAGCUUGGUCUACCAAGGAGAAGGAAUAAUCAGCAGUCCUGGGAUCUGAAAACAGACAAGAAAUCAAACUCAAGCAAUUAGAGAUUGGCCAAUCUGAAUCAUGGAAUGAGUGCAGAUAUGAUGACUUCCCUCCAAGAUACAAAAGAGAGAGAAAAGUAUUUUUGUUAAAUGUAUUCAGUGGGUAUGGGAAGCAGGGACCUCCUGCAAGGAAGAAAAUAUCCUUUGAGUGUAUGUCGUGGUAAUCUAGUACUGAAAAGCAGAAGGGGUGAAGGAAUUGUGAACAGCUGGUAAGUGGCAGCCCUGUGCCGAAAGAAUAAAGUGUGGAGGAGGGGAGAAAGCAAUUAAAAAGGGGGGGAAAGGGGAGGGUGGAGGAGGGGGGCUAAAAUGGAAACUCCUAAUUUCAACAGUAAAAUAAAACCAAAACAGAAAAACAAAACAGAUGUGUUGGGAGUGUAUUGUCAAACACCAGAUUCCUGUGGAUCCUAAGAGCUGCAGAAGCCAUUGUCCUCUGCUGGGGAUGGGGGCCAUAAAAAAACAGCACGCUGGGCUGGGAACGUAACCGCUGUGUGCUCUCACUCACAGUUCUCAGCUAAACCCAACACAACUCUCUACUGGUCACAAAAGAUGCUCCAGAGAGAAUGAGUGCAGCCAUAACUAGUUGACCUGUGAGCGCUCACCUUCCUUUUUGUGCUCUGAAAGCUGCACUUCUGACAGCGGGAAUAGAGGCUUAUCUCAGCCUCAG
ensembl:lncRNA